CGGUCUCGUCUUACCCGACCACUGUAUCUUAUGAUAGUAACACAGCAGCUGAGCAACUAAAGGCGACGGAAGACUUAGUUACAUUGUAUUUGACGCCUGAGGACGAUUUCACACAGUCACCCCCAUGGAGCAGAUACGUAUGUCCACACAAGCCUAAGAAGAGAUCUAGGAAGAGAUCUAUUGAGCCUGUGAAGCCAUACACGACCGGUCUCCCGCCCAAAAGAAGAAGCCCUUCCUUUGUUCCAGACACGCCUUACCCAGACACUGUAUCGGGUGUUCCUAACACCACUGCAGAGCAGCUAACGGCACGCAAAGACUUGGAGUCCUUGCAUCGGUCGUCGUCUAGUACACCAACGCCCUACCAGCCACCAAGUGUCUCCAUUGAGAGGGAACAAAAGACAUCUGAUGAGACAAUCCAUGCCAUAGAAGUAGGCGAAGUAUCCGAAGACACCGGACUAACAGCGACAGCCCCUACAUCACGCCAAACAAAUCGUGAAGCUACAGGCGAAGGGUCUGAAGACACAGAGCUAACA